rnacentral:lncRNA from 1 species
AAACAGAGGAUGAGAUUGCUAAGAGUCUUCAGAUACACACUAAAAUCAGUGAAAACAAAACUGCAGUCAGCCCUUGAUUACCUAGGAGCAUUUGUUGUUGAGAACUUGGGGAGAGAGCUCUGCUGCAAUUAGUCUCUCUUUUGCCCUGAUAGGAACUCAGCCCCAGGGCUGAUGGGAAAUCAGGCCUGAUCAGUUUUUACCUAGUCCAUGUCCUGAAACAGCAGUUUGUCCUUACUCAGGUUAAUCUGAAAACCAGUUAAUCUGC